GCCUCCGUGGUGUAACGGUUAGCACACUCGGCGCGUAUUCGAGAGGUCCGUGGUUCGAGUCCCGGCUAGGGCA
rnacentral:tRNA from 1 species